CUGCCUCCAGUUUCGUGCUGUAAUAUGCCCUCCGAACGCCCCUCCUAUGGCUUACGAUGUAUACGUAUAAGGGUUGCACAGAAGCACUGCAUAGAUAAGUUGCUGGGUUGCAGGAGCAGCGGUCUGAGUAGAGAUGCCCGGACCUCCCUCUCCCCAGGCACCUCCUCCAGCUCUUGCAGAGAAAUACCCCUCCUACUGCAUGGUUGGACCAAAUACCAAAUGUUUCACUUACACAGUCAUGAGUUUGUAUCAAGUUUGUAUGAGUUUUGUAUUUUUUUCUUUUCUUUUUUUUAAUCUUUUUUUUAUAUUAAAACUCAAUGAUUAUGAAACUGUUUUUUAGAUGUUAAU